UGGGGAAUAUUGGACAAUGGGCGCAAGCCUGAUCCAGCCAUGCCGCGUGAGUGAUGAAGGCCCUAGGGUUGUAAAGCUCUUUCACCGGUGAAGAUAAUGACGGUAACCGGAGAAGAAGCCCCGGCUAACUUCGUGCCAGCAGCCGCGGUAAUACGAAGGGGGCUAGCGUUGUUCGGAUUUACUGGGCGUAAAGCGCACGUAGGCGGACUUUUAAGUCAGGGGUGAAAUCCCGGGGCUCAACCCCGGAACUGCCUUUGAUACUGGAAGUCUUGAGUAUGGUAGAGGUGAGUGGAAUUCCGAGUGUAGAGGUGAAAUUCGUAGAUAUUCGGAGGAACACCAGUGGCGAAGGCGGCUCACUGGACCAUUACUGACGCUGAGGUGCGAAAGCGUGGGAGCAAACAGG
rnacentral:rRNA from 2 species